rnacentral:rRNA from 1 species
GCAAGUCGAACGGCAGCACGGACUUCGGUCUGGUGGCGAGUGGCGAACGGGUGAGUAACAUAUCGGAACGUAUCCAAUAAUGGGGGAUAACUAAUCGAAAGGUUGGCUAAUACCGCAUACGCCCUACGGGGGAAAGCAGGGGAUCUUCGGACCUUGCGUUAAUGGAGCGGCUGAUAUCUGAUUAGCUAGUUGGUGAGGUAAAGGCUCACCAAGGCGACGAUCAGUAGCUGGUCUGAGAGGACGACC